ACAAAAAAAAGUUGCUGAUUCCAGUCUAGAGGAAACAGUAAGGAAGAGAAAAGAGAAAUUCUCAUUAUAGCCAUGGCAAAGGAAGGGACAUUUUUAUGGACUACAUCUCUGCCUGGAUGGCUGUCUCUAACUGGAUUUUGCCAAUAUAUGCUGAUUUGAGUUGGAGUUUCACUCUGUCGCCCAGGCUGGAGCGCAGUGGUGCGAUUGCGGCUCACUGCAACCUCUGCCUCCAGGGUUCAAGCGAUUCUCCUGCCUCAGCCUCCCGAGUAGCUGGGACUACAGACAUGUGCCACCACACUCAGGGGGAGAUAUGAAAUUAUCCAGGAAUGGCAAUUUGACCACAAAAUACAUGAACAGAUGGUUCUUGCCUUUGAAUGGGAAAAGAUGCUGCCUAGUCCAUCUUGUAUUGGAAAAUGUUGUGACUCAGUGCAAAUUUUACACUUUUGGAUGCAUUUGGAUUUCUUGGAUGUUGUAAGCACUUCUCCUUCCUGCCACCACGUGAAGAAGGACAUGUUUGCUUCCUCUUCCACCAUGAUUGUAAGUUUCCUGAGGCCACCAAGUCCUGCAGAACUGAGAUUUUUACACCUAUCUGUGAUGCUAUCUUGUGACCAUGAGGAGUGCUAAGCUGAAUCACAAAUCCACCAUGCUGAGGACAGCACAACAAAGACUUGGGGACUUAAUGGUUUCAACCAGUCACUGGGUUAACAAACCCUGGAACAAUCCCACCUCAAAACUUCAGUUACCUGUCCUGCUGACGUCAGACCCAGCACCAGGUGCAGAAGCAACCAUCAUACAAAAAUCAAGCUUCCUUAAUUAUAGAUGGAGUCUCCCUGUGUUGGCCAGGCUGGUCUUGAGCUCCUGGGCUCAAGCAAGCCUUCCACUUCAGCCUCCAGCAAUCCUCCCACCUUGGCCUCCCACAGUGCUGGGAUUACAGGUGUGAGUCACUGAACCUAGACUUGACUUUAGCUUCUUGAAGAGGAAAUUUUGAUCUUUGCUUUUAAACCUUUCUCAUUUCAAAUACAAAUAUUUAAAACUGUACAUUUUCCACUAAACACAGCUUUUGAUUGGGUCUCACAUAAUUUGGUAUAAUGUAUUUUAAUUUUUAUUCAGUUUUAAAUAUGUGCUAAUUUCCCUUUGGAUUUCUUUUUUGAUCCAUAGUA
rnacentral:lncRNA from 1 species